CCUACAGGGAGUGGCCGCCAAACAGUACAAAACAAUUAACGCUACUGCGCCGCUAUCAAAGGCUCGCAGAGAAAACAGUGAGCCACGCAUGGCUGGAGCGAGGGCUCGACGGAGAGAGAAAUGAGUGUAGUCACAUCAAAAACCAGCGGAGCAGGAGUCUGAUUUAGUACAAAAGGCUGCAAUUAGCACGGCACAUUAGGAGCACAUGGCAGGGCAACUCCCUCACUGCGCCUGUUUGGGACACACAAGGGCCGACUCCGCCUGGGAGCCCGACGCUCCACACAUGACAUUUUGAGACUGUGGCUGCACUGGCGGUAAGAGCUGCAUGUUUCACUAAACCUUGUAGCAGCAGCUCUGACUUCUUCAGAGGCAGCAGACCCGCAUUAAGCUGCCAGCUGACGCCCCCUGUUGGUCGACCUGAGACAGGUUUUGAACUGCAGAGCGGACACACCGCUGAGGAUGUGAUGAAAAGAUGAGAAAUCAACCAGCUAUGCCCAAAAAUGGAGCCAAGAAGCUUUGAGUCAUAAAUCACAGGCACCACCUUCUGUGAGGUGAAAGGUGUGUUUUUCUUUUGUUUUUGCCUGCAGCCAUCCAUGCAAACGCACCGCAUGCUCAAAUAACCAACAGCGUGGCCUUCAGGCAGGCGGAGACAUCGACACUCAGGCCACGUUCAAAAGGGAGGAUGCGCCGCUUCUCCCCUCGGCCGACAUUGCGAAGGUCUCUUCUGCCUUAAUCCUCUUUGACUUUAUUCAUGCAAAGGUCAUCUCUGAUUCUCCAAAUGGAGGAGGCGAUGGUUGUGGAGGGUCUCUGAGGAGGGAAAACUACGGUUGAGCCUGGAAAACACUGUGUAUGUGUGUGUGUGGUGUAGAUAAUCUGCAUUAGUUACUGGUACAAGAUUAUUACUCACCCAUGAAGCAUGACUCAGAAAUACCUGCUUCUACCUGGAAAGUUGCAGUUGUCAUUGGGUUUCCCCAAAGGAAAUGAUGAGAAAUGACAGCAGUGGUGAAGAAAAAGACAUCUGCAGAUGGAGACUGUCCUCCCAAGAAAAAUGACAAUAUUGGUUCUUUAUGCAAGCGUCCCUAAACAGCUAACAUUCAGGUGAGAGCGUAAUUAUGACGGGAGCGAAGGAGGAAAUCAGGUGACGUUAUAGAUUGACAUAGGGAGGUCGGGGUGGAUGGACGAGUCAACAGAACAUCAGACUACCAACCAACAGUCAUUACUUUUUUUGGAAAACCAUAACAGGGAUCGCCUCUUAACCUUAACCACGUUGCUAUUGUAACCAUGACAAUUAAGGUCUCCUAACCUUAAAGACCCUCUCCACUUCAUAUCUUUAUGAAUAUUGUGAUUGCUGCCCUGAUGUGUAUUCACAUCUGGGAAAGGAUGUUCAGGUUUCUUUGUUGAGGUCCUACAGAUAAAAAUCAUACACACACAUCAUAAAACAUUUAUUUUUUUAAACAGUGAUGUGUAACAGUCUUGGAAGGCAGAGAUAUAUGAUGUUUUCCUGCUGAUGAGAACCGUCCAAUUUAGAGCAAGCAAGCAGCAGAUAAUAAAUGAUCUGUGUUGCUUCAUCCAUUUUUAUUUAAACUUCUCGGUUGGAGCACAAACAUCUCUUUCUAAUAAACUUAUUGUCCUAACAAACACCAAAAGGUCUUUGAGCUAACAAGUUUUUUCCCCCUUCAGUAACUCUUUAUUGAAUAAAAGGAUGCACAGUUCUCACAAUCCCAACCACCAAGUCUGCACAGAAAAUACAUUUAAA